ACACGAUAAUAGCAAAUCUGACGAAAGUCAGGGACGCAAAGCUACAGGGACUAACGUGUAAACUAUGUCAGCCAGCUGCCGAA
rnacentral:ncRNA from 3 species